rnacentral:rRNA from 1 species
ACUCAAAGGAAUUGACGGGGGCCCGCACAAGCGGUGGAGUAUGUGGUUUAAUUCGAUGCAACGCGAAGAACCUUACCUACUCUUGACAUGGUGGGAAUGGCGUAGAGAUAUGCCAGUGCCGAAAGGAACCCACACACAGGUGCUGCAUGGCUGUCGUCAGCUCGUGUCGUGAGAUGUUGUCUUAAGUGACGCAACGAGCGCAACCCUUGCCUCUAGUUACCAUCAUUAAGUUGGGGACUCUAGAGGGACUGCUGAUCUAUGAUCGGAGGAAGGGGGGGAUGACGUCAAGUCAUCAUGGCCCUUACGAGUAGGGCUACACACGUACUACAAUGGUUGGUACAGAGGGAUGCGAAGCCGCAAGGUAGAGCGAACCCCACAAAGCUAAUCGUAGUCCGGAUUGGAGUCUGCAACUCGACUCCAUGAAGCCGGAAUCGCUAGUAAUCGCAGAUCAGAAUGCUGCGGUGAAUACGUUCCCGGGCCUUGUACACACCGCCCGU